rnacentral:rRNA from 1 species
GAUGAACGCUGGCGGCGUGCCUAAUACAUGCAAGUCGAGCGAACAGAUAAGGAGCUUGCUCCUUUGACGUUAGCGGCGGACGGGUGAGUAACACGUGGGUAACCUACCUAUAAGACUGGGAUAACUUCGGGAAACCGGAGCUAAUACCGGAUAAUAUUUCGAACCGCAUGGUUCGAUAGUGAAAGAUGGUUUUGCUAUCACUUAUAGAUGGACCCGCGCCGUAUUAGCUAGUUGGUAAGGUAACGGCUUACCAAGGCGACGAUACGUAGCCGACCUGAGAGGGUGCUCGGCCACACUGGAACUGAGACACGGUCCAGACUCCUACGGGAGGCAGCAGUAGGGAAUCUUCCGCAAUGGGCGAAAGCCUGACGGAGCAACGCCGCGUGAGUGAUGAAGGUCUUCGGAUCGUAAAACUCUGUUAUUAGGGAAGAACAUACGUGUAAGUAACUGUGCACGUCUUGACGGUACCUAAUCAGAAAGCCACGGCUAACUACGUG